AGCAGAAGUCUAGUGGAAUAUUAGAUAAAAGACUAAGUAUCUUCAUUUGUUUAAGAAUUAAGGUAUGUAAAAUUUCGAGGACGAAAUUUCUUUUAAGGGGGGAAGAAUGUAAAUCUCGACCCAUCUGGAAACUUGGGAGGAAUGGCGGUGGAGAUCGGCAACUGUUGAGGCGGUUAUAACCGCCCGACAGCCACGAUCACCACGACUUCUCCCUCCCCGCCGAGGUUUAUAAAAACCCAAAGACUCUUCAGAUUCUUCAUCCCUCACCCUCUCACUGCCUCUCAUUCCCUUUUCCUUCUAUGUAACGGAAACGGAUCGGGAGCAGCAGCGCCGGAGGAGGAGGGAUUUCCAGCUCGUCACUGCACGGCGUCGCCGGAGCAGACACAGCAGCUUGCCGGAAAUGCCUCACAGCUUCUCGGAGCUAGGUAAACCCUUAACUUUUCUUCCACUCAUGAUUUACAUGCUAUUAGCCUAGACCUAAUUUAGCUAACAGAUGAUUAACAGAGGAAUAGGGUUGGGAAGAAGAUGAAGAGGAGGGAGGAUAAAGGUCUAUGCAAUGAUCGGCUGUGAUCCGACAUUGGCCGAGGACCUUUCUCCUUCAUCCGAUGGUGGCUUCCCCUUCCCAUUAAAACCCUAGAUCUAAUAAUCUAAAGAGGUCAACCUACCUCUGAUGCACGGAAGGGCCCUCGGCUCGGACAGAUGGGGUUCCCAGGGGUGGAACCAGUUUGAUCUUGGCCGGAGGGGAGCGGAGAAGACGGGCCGAAGGGAGAUCUCCUCGAGGGCCAUGGAUGCCGCCGGCUCAGGGCACUGCGGACACAAUCGGGCCGACCACAGGCGUCGGCCGUGCACUACGCGGGCACCCCCGGCUUUGGCUGGGCCUUGCUGAUCCUCGAUGGGUGCCGCACCCCGGUGGAGGAGGAGAGCGGCCAUUUAGGCCGCGCCCACUGCAGGAGGGGCCACGGCCGCCGUAGCUACCGCCGAUUGGCUGCGCCGCCGGCUUCGGGCCGGCCUCUCCCGAGCACCUUUCGAGGAAAAGAGGAAGAGGAGCUCGGGAAGGGAAGAAGAGAGAAAGGGGGAAAGGAAGAUCGGAAAGGGAAGAAGAAAGAAGGAGAAGAGAAGAACAAAAGAAAGAAGAGGGAGGAAGGUUCGGGAAGGGAGAAGAGCAGAAAAAGAAAGAAAAAGAAAAAGAAAAGAAGAAGAAGAAAAGAAAAGAAAAGAAGAAAGAAAAAUAAAAUAAAAAAUUGAUAUGGGCCGAGUUGGGCUUGAUUCUAGCGGUGGGCUUCAUAGGAACCGGACUUUAAAGACCCGAGGCCAGGCUAGGCCCUGGUCCGAGCCCAAUAUUUUUAAACCCAGAAUUAACUAAACCAGUAUGCAAUUGACCCAAGUCUGAAAUAGUAUGCAAUGGACCCAAGCCUGAACCAGAAAUUAAAUUAGGCUAUGGACCCGAAAAUGAAAUUGAGUCCUAUGGAUGGGCUGUAAAUGACUUUAAGAUUAUGAAUAAAUAGAAAUUAAAUGUGCAAGUGACAUGUAAUUUAAUGAUCUUGCUAGGUAUUGGAGACUUGGCAUUUGGUGAGCAAAUUAAGGUAAGUAACAUGUCUUAAUCUUAUUAUGGAUUAUAUAUCACGUUUUAUAAGAUGAAAAAGUAUUAUUUAAGCAAUUGGAAUUGUGUAUAUAAAUUGUGGAAAAAGCAAUCCUGAUAUAAUCUUAUGUUUUAUCAAAUAUUUGUGACUACUCGAUUAUGAAAUUUAUAUGAUUAUUUAUGUUUUCACAAAAUUAGGAUCAAGCAUGUGUUAGCAAAUGAUUACAUGAUUUUGGAUCAUGAUGAUUAUUAUAUUAUAUACACAUGAUUAUGAUGAUGGAGAAAGAUGCAUAGAAAAAUAAAGUUUUCAGCAUGAUCAUGAGUUUUAUUUAGCAUGAUGCCAUUAUUCACUUUCCAAUGUAUCUAUUAGAAAAGAUUUAUGAAAAGCAUGAUAUGUUUUAAGAACUCUCAGAUCGCUAUGCACGACCCCGGCCAGUGGGUAACAGUAAACUAGGCAUAUAUGACCCCCGCCAGUGGGUAAAAGUAACUUGGCUUUACGACCUCCGCCAGUGGGUAAUAGUAACUGGAAGAAGACCCUGCCAACGGAGAACAUUAGUUGGCAAAGAUUAUGGCCCUCGCCAGCAGGUUAUAGUAGCUCGGCAUACNNNNNNNNNNNNNNNNNNNNNNNNNNNNNNNNNAGACCCUGCCAACGGGGAACAAUAGUUGGCAAAGAUUAUGGCCCUCGCCAGCGGGUUACAGUAGCUCGGCAUACGGCCCUCGCCAGCGGGUUAUAAUAGCUUGCCUUAGACCCUUCCAACGGGAAAUAAUAGUUGGUAGAGAUUAUGGCCCUGUCACAAUAAUAAUAGUGACCAUAGCUGCACUAUUAUCUGAGAGCACGAAUUUCAAAGCAAUAAAUUAUGACAAGCACGGAUUUCAAAGCAUGAAUUAUGACAAGUACCGAUUUCGAAGCAUGGAAUGAUGGCAAAAGAUUUUUAUGAUGCAUAAUCAUAUUUAUGAUGUUGCAUGAAUGGAUAUGCAUAGUUUUAUGACUGAUUUGCUUAUAUGAAAUAUUUACUUUGUUUCAACUGUUAGAUCCUUAAAAUAAUGCAUUAGCAUACAAAACAUUAUGCUUGAUCCGAUAAGAUUAUGCUUGUUUACUUACUGGGCUAGCUCACACCAUUUUAUUUAUGUCCUUACAGAUGAAUAGAAAAUGCUAGAAACAAGGAGCGUAACAUGCUCCAGGGUUAUGGAAAAGACGAAUGUUAAAUGUAGAUAUUGUUUUUAGAAGCUUUGUAUGCAUUUUAAUACAUGAACAUUUAAUGAUUUUCAUGAAUAUAGUUGUUUACAAUUUGAAGUUUUAAAGUGGCUGCGUGUUAUUGCGGGCUAAGAUUUGCAAUAGCACGGCUGUGUCAUGAUCCGAAUUCGGGGCGUGACAUUAAGUGGUAUCAGAGCAAUAAGUUUAACCAUGAUUUAAAAACUUUUAAAAUUAAUCAUGGGAAUGGGUAGCUAAGUUAACUUUCCCAUAAUUGGAAUCACAGUAAGAACAAUAAUGAUAUUCUAAAUAAUAAUAAUAAUAAUAAUAAUAAAAGAAAAUAUAUAUAUAUAUAUAUAUAUAUAAAUAAAUACAUAUAUAUAUAUAUAAUGUGAUGAAAUGGAAAAGGAUUAAUACUAUAUUUUGAUAGGUGACGAUGAGUGAUAGCGAGAAUGAAGUUCUGGCUAACUAUAAAAGAAAAGGAGUGAAAGCAUCCUCCCAAGAAGCUACCAACAUGCCAGCUAGGCCAGCUCCAAACACUAUAGCCACUCAGGCAGAUCUUGUUGGGGUAUGCCAAGUGGUGGCAUAGCUUUUCCAGCAGCAGCAGCAGACGCAGCUCUCCUUCCGACCUGUGUCGUCCACCGAUACUUCUUAUGAGAAAUUUCGGAGCCUGCAUCCUCCAAUGUUUGAGGGAGGGGCUGAUUACUUGGCUGUUGAGACCUGAAUUUGGGAGAUAGAGGAGAUGUACGAUGCCCUACAAUUUCCUGAGGAAGUUAAGGUCAAAUUGGCGGUUCCUAUGCUUAGAGAAAACGCCAAGUUCUGGUGGAUAGCUAUGAAGGCUGCUGUUCAAGGAAAAGGUGAACAACUAACAUAGGAGGAAUUUAAAGGUAAAUUCUACAAUCAGUACUUCCCCCAGUCAGUGAGAUUGGUGAAGCAGAACGAAUUUUUGGCCCUGAAACAGACCGAGAAUAUGACAGUAUUGGAAUAUGCCAGGAAGUUUAAUGAAUUGGGCAGGUUUUGUCCUCAGUUCAUGGAGUAAGAGAUAAGUAAAGCUAAUAGGUUUGAACAAGGCCUGAGAUAUGGGAUCAGGUCCAGGUUGGCUGUUCUGCUUUUCACUAGUUACCAGGAUGUAUUGGAAAGGUUUCUAAAAUUGGAAGCUGAAUUGAAGAGAUCAGAAAAAGAAAGAGGUGACCAGAAGAGACCCAAAAUGACAGAAAGUCUGAGUGACAGGCCACUAACUCUGAAGGUAAUACAAAUAAGAAGAAGAGAUUUGAGGCCUGUACCUAUUGUGGCAAGACUCAUAGGGGGCCUUGUUUUAAGAAGAUGGGAGUCUGCUUCAUUUGUGGUCAACAUGGACAUUUGGCACGGGACUGUCCAAAUAAAAAGAAGAACGACUCGGAACCUACUGAAUUAGGAGCUCAGCUUUUGCAUUGAUUUAGUAGAAUGCCAGUAUAAGUGACCAAAAAGUGACAAGUACCAUUUUGGAUAAUUCCAUGAAGGCCAUGUGUCAAUUGAUUGUAAAUUUUUCGAUCCUUUUUGUAUCUUCUGGGUUUCUAACUCUCUAUAAUGCACGUCAUAAGAAUUGAACCAGUCUUUAUGUGAUGUCAUCUCUCUUAAGAAAGCUAUUCUUAUGGAUGUUAUGUUUAAGAAUCUUUUCACUUAAAUGAGAAAGUUACAGUUAAUACAAAUUUAGAUUGAGCUUUAGACACGUUGGGCUCAAUCAGAAUUGCACAGCAUAAGUCUAGUGGAAUAUUAGAUAAAAGACUAAGUAUCUUCAUUUGUUUAAGAAUUAAGGUAUGUAAAAUUUCGAGGACGAAAUUUCUUUUAAGGGGGGAAGAAUGUAAAUUCCGGCCCAUCUGGAAACUUGGAAGGAAUGGCGGUGGAGAUCGGCAACUGUUGAGGCGGUUAUAACCGCCUGACAGCCACGAUCACCACCAC
rnacentral:lncRNA from 1 species